AACGAACGCUGGCGGCAGGCCUAACACAUGCAAGUCGAGCGCGCCCUUCGGGGUGAGCGGCGGACGGGUGAGUAACGCGUGGGAACGUGCCCUUUUCUACGGAAUAGCCUCGGGAAACUGAGAGUAAUACCGUAUACGCCCUUUGGGGGAAAGAUUUAUCGGAAAAGGAUCGGCCCGCGUUGGAUUAGGUAGUUGGUGGGGUAAUGGCCUACCAAGCCGACGAUCCAUAGCUGGUUUGAGAGGAUGAUCAGCCACACUGGGACUGAGACACGGCCCAGACGCCGACGGGAGGCAGCGGGGGGGAAACUGAGACGAGUGGGGCACGCGUGAGCUAGCCAGGCGGGGGGAGGGAGGAAGGCAUUAGGGUUUAGAAUGGUUGGAGGUGGGGAAAAUGAUGAAGGUACCGGCAGAGAAAGGCCGGGCUACCUCCGUGAAAGCAGCGGCGGAAUAGGAAAGGGCCACGUCAGAA
rnacentral:rRNA from 1 species